rnacentral:lncRNA from 1 species
CCUUGUUCGACGGACACGCCCGCACCUAUUUUUCUCAAAACAGAAUUUUUUUAUUUUUAUUAUAUUCCCGCUUCCCGCAUCCGCAAAUGUAAUCAUGUCCAUUUCCCGCACCGUUUUUUUGUAAAUAUUAUAAAAAUAUAUCAACAUUUGAUUUUAAAAUCACAGUCUAACCUGUAUAUAACGAUUUUAAACAUAAAAGCACACCACCACA